rnacentral:rRNA from 1 species
GAUGAACGCUGGCGGCGUGCCUAAUACAUGCAAGUCGAGCGAACAGACGAGGAGCUUGCUCCUCUGACGUUAGCGGCGGACGGGUGAGUAACACGUGGAUAACCUACCUAUAAGACUGGGAUAACUUCGGGAAACCGGAGCUAAUACCGGAUAAUAUAUUGAACCGCAUGGUUCAAUAGUGAAAGACGGUUUUGCUGUCACUUAUAGAUGGAUCCGCGCCGCAUUAGCUAGUUGGUAAGGUAACGGCUUACAAAGGCAACGAUGCGUAGCCGACCUGAGAGGGUGAUCGGCCACACUGGAACUGAGACACGGUCCAGACUCCUACGGGAGGCAGCAGUAUGGAAUCUUCCGCAAUGGGCGAAAGCCUGACGGAGCAACGCCGCGUGAGUGAUGAAGGUCUUCGGAUCGUAAAACUCUGUUAUUAGGGAAGAACAAAUGUGUAAGUAACUAUGCACGUCUUGACGGUACCUAAUCAGAAAGCCACGGCUAACUACGUG